rnacentral:rRNA from 1 species
GACGAACGCUGGCGGCGCGCCUAACACAUGCAAGUCGAACGAGAGAUGAAGAGCUUGCUCUUCAAAUCGAGUGGCGAACGGGUGAGUAACGCGUGAGGAACCUGCCUCAAAGAGGGGGACAACAGUUGGAAACGACUGCUAAUACCGCAUAAGCCCACGGCUCGGCAUCGAGCAGAGGGAAAAGGAGCAAUCCGCUUUGAGAUGGCCUCGCGUCCGAUUAGCUAGUUGGUGAGGUAACGGCCCACCAAGGCGACGAUCGGUAGCCGGACUGAGAGGUUGAACGGCCACAUUGGGACUGAGACACGGCCCAGACUCCUACGGGAGGCAGCAGUGGGGAAUAUUGCACAAUGGGGGAAACCCUGAUGCAGCGACGCCGCGUGGAGGAAGAAGGUCUUCGGAUUGUAAACUCCUGUUGUUGAGGAAGAUAAUGACGGUACUCAACAAGGAAGUGACGGCUAACUACGUGCCAGCAGCCGCGGUAAAACGUAGGUCACAAGCGUUGUCCGGAAUUACUGGGUGUAAAGGGAGCGCAGGCGGGAGAACAAGUUGGAAGUGAAAUCCAUGGGCUCAACCCAUGAACUGCUUUCAAAACUGUUUUUCUUGAGUAGUGCAGAGGUAGGCGGAAUUCCCGGUGUAGCGGUGGAAUGCGUAGAUAUCGGGAGGAACACCAGUGGCGAAGGCGGCCUACUGGGCACCAACUGACGCUGAGGCUCGAAAGUGUGGGUAGCAAACAGGAUUAGAUACCCUGGUAGUCCACACCGUAAACGA